rnacentral:rRNA from 1 species
AACGAACGCUGGCGGCAGGCCUAACACAUGCAAGUCGAACGCCCUAGCAAUAGGGAGUGGCAGACGGGGUGAGUAACACGUGGGAACCUUCCCUAUAGUACGGAAUAGCUCAGGGAAACUUGAAGUAAUACCGUAUACGCCCGAGAGGGGAAAGAUUUAUCGCUAUAGGAUGGGCCCGCGUCGGAUUAGCUAGUUGGUGAGGUAAUGGCUCACCAAGGCGACGAUCCGUAGCUGGUUUGAGAGAACGACCAGCCACACUGGGACUGAGACACGGCCCAGACUCCUACGGGAGGCAGCAGUUGGGGAAUAUUGGACCAAUGGGCGCAAGCCUGAUCCAGCCAUGCCGCGUGAGUGAUGAAGGCCUUAGGGUUGUAAAGACUCUUUUAGC